AGCGAACGCUGGCGGCAGGCCUAACACAUGCAAGUCGAACGGACCCUUCGGGGUUAGUGGCGGACGGGUGAGUAACACGUGGGAACGUGCCUUUAGGUUCGGAAUAGCUCCUGGAGACGGGUGGUAAUGCCGAAUGUGCCCUUCGGGGGAAAGAUUUAUCGCCUUUAGAGCGGCCCGCGUCUGAUUAGCUAGUUGGUGAGGUAACGGCUCACCAAGGCGACGAUCAGUAGCUGGUCUGAGAGGAUGACCAGCCACACUGGGACUGAGACACGGCCCAGACUCCUACGGGAGGCAGCAGUGGGGAAUCUUGCGCAAUGGGCGAAAGCCUGACGCAGCCAUGCCGCGUGAAUGAUGAAGGUCUUAGGAUUGUAAAAUUCUUUCACCGGGGACGAUAAUGACGGUACCCGGAGAAGAAGCCCCGGCUAACUUCGUG
rnacentral:rRNA from 1 species